rnacentral:rRNA from 1 species
UGGUUCUCCCCGAAAGCUAUUUAGGUAGCGCCUCGUGAAUUCAUCUCCGGGGGUAGAGCACUGUUUCGGCAAGGGGGUCAUCCCGACUUACCAACCCGAUGCAAACUGCGAAUACCGGAGAAUGUUAUCACGGGAGACACACGGCGGGUGCUAACGUCCGUCGUGAAGAGGGAAACAACCCAGACCGCCAGCUAAGGUCCCAAAGUCAUGGUUAAGUGGGAAACGAUGUGGGAAGGCCCAGACAGCCAGGAUGUUGGCUUAGAAGCAGCCAUCAUUUAAAGAAAGCGUAAUAGCUCACUGGUCGAGUCGGCCUGCGCGGAAGAUGUAACGGGGCUAAACCAUGCACCGAAGCUGCGGCAGCGACGCUGAUGCGUUGUUGGGUAGGGGAGCGUUCUGUAAGCCUGUGAAGGUGUGCUGUGAGGCAUGCUGGAGGUAUCAGAAGUGCGAAUGCUGACAUAAGUAACGAUAAAGCGGGUGAAAAGCCCGCUCGCCGGAAGACCAAGGGUUCCUGUCCAACGUUAAUCGGGGCAGGGUGAGUCGACCCCUAAGGCGAGGCCGAAAGGCGUAGUCGAUGGGAAACAGGUUAAUAUUCCUGUACUUGGUGUUACUGCGAAGGGGGGACGGAGAAGGCUAUGUUGGCCGGGCGACGGUUGUCCCGGUUUAAGCGUGUAGGCUGGUUUUCCAGGCAAAUCCGGAAAACUAAGGCUGAGGCGUGAUGACGAGGCACUACGGUGCUGAAGCAACAAAUGCCCUGCUUCCAGGAAAAGCCUCUAAGCAUCAGGUAACAUCAAAUCGUACCCCAAACCGACACAGGUGGUCAGGUAGAGAAUACCAAGGCGCUUGAGAGAACUCGGGUGAAGGAACUAGGCAAAAUGGUGCCGUAACUUCGGGAGAAGGCACGCUGAUAUGUAGGUGAAGUCCCUCGCGGAUGGAGCUGAAAUCAGUCGAAGAUACCAGCUGGCUGCAACUGUUUAUUAAAAACACAGCACUGUGCAAACACGAAAGUGGACGUAUACGGUGUGACGCCUGCCCGGUGCCGGAAGGUUAAUUGAUGGGGUCAGCGCAAGCGAAGCUCUUGAUCGAAGCCCCGGUAAACGGCGGCCGUAACUAUAACGGUCCUAAGGUAGCGAAAUUCCUUGUCGGGUAAGUUCCGACCUGCACGAAUGGCGUAAUGAUGGCCAGGCUGUCUCCACCCGAGACUCAGUGAAAUUGAACUCGCUGUGAAGAUGCAGUGUACCCGCGGCAAGACGGAAAGACCCCGUGAACCUUUACUAUAGCUUGACACUGAACAUUGAGCCUUGAUGUGUAGGAUAGGUGGGAGGCUUUGAAGUGUGGACGCCAGUCUGCAUGGAGCCGACCUUGAAAUACCACCCUUUAAUGUUUGAUGUUCUAACGUUGACCCGUAAUCCGGGUUGCGGACAGUGUCUGGUGGGUAGUUUGACUGGGGCGGUCUCCUCCUAAAGAGUAACGGAGGAGCACGAAGGUUGGCUAAUCCUGGUCGGACAUCAGGAGGUUAGUGCAAUGGCAUAAGCCAGCUUGACUGCGAGCGUGACGGCGCGAGCAGGUGCGAAAGCAGGUCAUAGUGAUCCGGUGGUUCUGAAUGGAAGGGCCAUCGCUCAACGGAUAAAAGGUACUCCGGGGAUAACAGGCUGAUACCGCCCAAGAGUUCAUAUCGACGGCGGUGUUUGGCACCUCGAUGUCGGCUCAUCACAUCCUGGGGCUGAAGUAGGUCCCAAGGGUAUGGCUGUUCGCCAUUUAAAGUGGUACGCGAGCUGGGUUUAGAACGUCGUGAGACAGUUCGGUCCCUAUCUGCCGUGGGCGCUGGAGAACUGAGGGGGGCUGCUCCUAGUACGAGAGGACCGGAGUGGACGCAUCACUGGUGUUCGGGUUGUCAUGCCAAUGGCACUGCCCGGUAGCUAAAUGCGGAAGAGAUAAGUGCUGAAAGCAUCUAAGCACGAAACUUGCCCCGAGAUGAGUUCUCCCUGACUCCUUGAGAGUCCUGAAGGAACGUUGAAG